rnacentral:lncRNA from 1 species
CAAGUUUUUGAACAUAUAGCUUCUCAUAAACAAGUAACAAUCUAUUCACAAUUGUUGAAGUAUGAAGGAAACAACAAACUAUGUCCUUAGUUAUCGAGACAAUCCUAAUUCAUCACAUUUUAGAGGAGAGUCUAUGUAACGACCAAACCUCGAAGGAUUUGUGUCUCUAUUCUUACUGUGCUAGUCCCUGGAUCGAUUCGCUAGCACACACGGUAUAGAUGAACACCAUAAUAACAAGUGCAUCAUUUAUUACAACGUAUGAUCCAGAAUUUAUAAAGUAUAACAAUCUUCAUAGCUCUUAGCUAUAUUUAUUCAAUCAAACUGUGGAAAAGUAGUCGAAUAAUAAUGAUGAGUCCCAUCAUAGCCCACUGGCGAUGCUGAGUGAGGACUCGCGACCCUAAGAGUACCUUACUCCUCGUGUGAAUAUCCUGCAACAUGAGACGUUACAGCCGUAUAGGUCAAUACAUUGAAUGUAUUGGCAAGUACAUAUGAAGAAUAAUAAAGCAGACCUACAUGUACAUGCAUAGUAUAACAAAGGAAGGCUUGAUGGUUAUUUUGCAGAAAAAAUAAUUUUAUCCUCGUAACUACAUAAUAGUCAAUUUUUAAUUUGUUUGCUACAACAAAAUUACAUAUGGUUGAAUUGGCAUCUCCAACUCCAACCUAUUACCAUUGUUAAGUUUCCCACCAAAUUUCAUUAAGUGUCACAUGUGCCAAGAUCAUCCAACAACUGUAAUGGCCUAGCUGCUCCAAAUUUUCCUUAAGUGAGGACACGACUAAUCAUGAUUAGUUUUAAUACUCUGUAGAGUUUAGUACGCUUUACCCACUCGACCCAACUCGAAGAUUGAGACGAAGUCUUUUAGAAGCAGACACCUUGUCCCACAGGAGGCACAUCCCAACUAUCAUAACUACGUCUGCUCGCACAUCUGGGUAAGGUUUCCACAACUGGUCAACUAAGCCAGAGCCCAUAUAACGAGUGGUCGCACAUGGAAUCUACUAGUCACUAAGCGUGUGUAAUCUUUUUGAACCUGGGCGACAUUCCACUUACAUUCAGAGGGUCAAAACCAUGAUGUUCUUAAAACCACCCAGGAAUACCACAUCCGCCCACAGGUGAAUUAUAUACUUAGUUACUACACAAUUUAUUUUAUAAUAAUCCUCACAUAAUCUCAAUGAAUACAAGAACCAACCCCGUCUACAUAGCAUAGCAAAGCUACAAAUACCACGAUCUUCAUUGACGAGGGGAUAACUUAAAAGCAUAGCAUAAUGUAAUAAUAUUUCUAUACAUGCAUAAAUUCAUAGUGUGAUAUAUACUACUCCCUCCGUUUCUAAAUACAAGUCUUUUAAGAGAUUUCACUAAGUGACUACAUACGUAACAAAAUGAGUUAAUCUACACUCUAAAGUAUGUCUAUAUACAUCUGUAUGUAGUUUCCUAGUGAAACUUUUAAAAAGACUUAUAUUUAGGAACGGAGGGAGUACAUGCAUAGAAAACAAUAGGUAAAGGAUGAUCAACAUAUAACUUGCCUUGAUUCUGGUUCAAAAGGUUAGACUCCUGACAAUAGUUUGCAUCGCACUUCGGGCAAUCUACACGUUUCAAACAAUCACAACAAAUAAAUCACCACAUUCAAAUAACACCAAAUAAUACCAACAGUGAGACAUUAUUUUUAAAAUGAAAACAAAAAUAGCAUAACAGUAGGUACAAAUCAUCUACAUGCUGAUACAAUCACAACGCAAAAAGAAACAAUUAAUUUGGACGAACGAUUUGAGAGUUAUGGUUUCCGGUAGGUUGAAUUAAAAUAUAAACAAUGCAAAAGUGGAAUUUUAGUUCUACUAGAUUCUCCUUAUCAAUGCGAGUACAUAGGAAAAAGAAUCGAUGAAUUUGGAGUUACGGACCACAAGUUAUAGCCAAACAAAAAUUUGUUCAAAACACUACCAUGGCAGCGUUUCUGAACUACUGCAGCGGCUACUGUGUGUGUGCGCCAUGUGGCGCAAUGCUAAUGGACAAAGUCGGUUCACUUCAGAGCUUAUAUAGAGAACGAUCGAGCUCUAGGCAAAACCGGUUCGGUGGAAAAUAAAAUAAAUAACAAUAUAACCUGUGUCGUCUAACCCGGAUCGGACGGUCGGGAUGCUCCCCGGUUAACAGGGGCAAGGUGGCUGCCGCAGUUGGAGAAGCAGGGUGCGGCCGACUCGGUGGUGACGACGGCGACGAGUGGAGCGGGUGACCGCCGAUCCAGGAGUAACGGGAGGAGGGACGACAUGCGUACCGAGAUGGCGAACUCGGGAACGCCUUCAUGGAUGACCGGGGCUUGCUCCCGCGACGAGACGACACGGCUGGGGCGGCGACAUCGGAAUUGAACUUCGGGUCGAGGUCAACGUGCUCGCUAUGGUGCUCCCGUGCGCAAAAUAGAAGGUGAUGGAGAGAGAGCAGAUCAUGUUGGAUCGAAUCGGCGCAAGAGGAGGUGUUGGGAACCUCGGGUGGAGACGGAAUCACCUGGGGACGAAGCUUCCCUACGGCGGACUCCGACGAGAUCGGGUGGAAACUCUAGGGCACGGGAGUCUUCAAUUUUGCCAAAAAUCGGUCUACUAAGAGGUGGAGAUUACUUAUAAGGACGAUUACGUGGUCGAUGGGGAAUAGAUCGAUCAAAUCGAUCGAUUUUUUAUCGGGAACUAUCUCCACAAAGAAAAAUGGCACAACGGGGAAGACGACAUGUGGACCAGAGAAGUCAGCGGGACACAGGAGGGAAAGAAAAGAAGAAAAAACGUUGUGGUGGGCUCUUG